CAUGUAGGCGGCAUGACAAGUCUGGUGUGAAAUAUCUCGGCUCAACCGAGAAAACGCACUGGAAACUGUCAAGCUUGAGUAUCGGAGGGGAAGCUAGAAUUCCUGGUGUAGGGGUGAAAUCUGUAGAUAUCAGGAAGAAUACCGGUGGCGAAGGCGAGCUUCUGGCCAGAUACUGACGCUGAGGUGCGAAAGCGUGGGGAGCGAACAGGAUUAGAUACCCUGGUAGUC
rnacentral:rRNA from 1 species